GAGUGAGCAACCCUCAUCCCUCACAGUCCAGGCGGGUGGUGGGGCUGGCGAUGAGCCCUGCACUGUCGUCUGCAUUCCUGAGGGAGCUCCCGGGCUGGUUCCUGCUCUCUGGGGUCUUCCUGCCCGUGGCUUUGCUGCUGCUCCUCCUCAUUGCCUACUUCAGGAUCAAGCUGAUGGAGGUCAAAGAAGAACUGUCCCAGAUUCCUGAUCACCGACACAACAGCAAGGCUGGCUCUUCCCUGUACCAGCGUAAGAAACGAACGUGACCCUUGGGGACCCAUCAAUGGCUAGAGUGCACUGAACUUCUGCUCAGAGAGUAAUGGUCAACCGCUUAGCCUGCACUGGUUCGUAAACAAGAGCCACAGCAAGAUGCUUGUUCUGAACCAUAUCGAAAAGUGGCAACUAUUGUCCAAGACUUCUUUGAGACUCAACUCAAACAGCAGUUCUUCAGAGAGCCCCAAGAUUUUAAGAUUUUCUUGGAUGUGCUUUAUGGAUUGGACACAUUGUAACUUUCUAACUUUUAUAGACUAUGCCCACUCUGAAGGGCAUAUUUUAAAAAUAAAAUCCCUAAACAUCAACAUCACCUAAUCUUGUGGAAGCUCACAUUAUUUUAGAAGAAACUGGUAGAAAUCAAUCAGACUGCAAAAGGCGAAUGGCCCGAGCAUUUCCUGUGAGAGGAUUUGACACCUCCUCCUGCACUUCGACAGCUCUUGACACUUUCAUAAGCAUCAUCCUGGCCCUGCGUUUGCUUCUCUCCUUCUCCCAGUUGCUUUCGCAACCACGUUACCAAAUCACUGAACGAGUGCCGUCUCUGGACACUGGGUAUGGCACACCCACGCAUGAGGCUUUCAGCACGAUGUGACUUGGAAAUUCUGGCAAUUUGGUGUUGGCAAAAGGAGAGCAGAGUGUUCACCUAACUCAUGAGAGAUUAAUUCAAGACUUUGCCUUUAAAGCCAAAACAUCAGGGAGCCAAAACAUUCCUAAAUGAGGAAGGAAUUCAACAUUUCCCUGGAAGAAUUCUCUCAGUGAGAGCCCCAAACAGCCAAUGUAGAAAUCUUAAAUAUUUCAUUCAAAGUGUUAGUUAAAAUAGUGAUUACUAUUUUCCUAGUUAACAUGAACAAAAGAUGCUUAACAUGUCCUAAGUGUCAGUCUGUUUAUAUUCCAAUAUUUGUAUAUGAACCUAACAGUCUAUUAGAGUGAUGAACUUUAUGAAACAUAAUGAAUUUGUUCACCUGUAAGAAUGCACCAAUUUCCAUAGUGACAUACAAUCAUACAAAAGAUCAUAUGGAUAAUAGAGAAAGCAGGAAUCCACCACAAAGGCUGGAUAUUUUCUGCUUCUU